rfam:Armatimonadetes bacterium CSP1-3 XT14_C0023, whole genome shotgun sequence.
CUCCGAAAAGGCAAACCCGAAGCGAUUCGGGGGCGCAAAGCCGCGGGACCCUGUUCCAUCUCCGACGCAGCGUCGUUCAGGUGGAACGGGGUCGGCCGGGCCGCCGAAG